rfam:Triticum aestivum genome assembly, contig: Triticum_aestivum_CS42_TGACv1_scaffold_222283_3B
AACGUACUCUCUCCGUUUCAAAAUUCUUGUCUUAUAUUUAUCUAAAUACGGAUGGAUCAAUUCAUGUUUUAAUAUUAGAUACAUUCGUAUUUAGACGAAUCUAAGACAAGAACUUUAGGAUGGAGGGAGUAGGAU